rnacentral:rRNA from 1 species
UACCAGCACCCCGAGUGGUCGGGACGAUUAUUGGGCCUAAAGCAUCCGUAGCCGGUCCUGCAAGUCUUCCGUUAAAUCCAGCUGCUUAACAGAUGGGCUGCGGGAGAUACUACAGGGCUAGGAGGCGGGAGAGGCAAGCGGUACUUUAUGGGUAGGGGUAAAAUCCGCUGAUCCAUAGAAGACCACCAGUGGCGAAGGCGGCUUGCCAGAACGCGCUCGACGGUGAGGGAUGAAAGCGGGGGGAGCAAACCGG